rnacentral:sRNA from 1 species
GUUGUCUCUGACAACAGCUAAUGUCCCGGUAAACUGAGAGGGACGCCUUAGGGUGAUUACCAGCCAAAAUCGUCAUGACCUGAGAGACGAUGCCUUCGGGCGGUAACGUUGUUUAGCCUUUGAAAACAACGGUC